GCCCCAUUGAUUGGCAGCCAUUAUCAGUCCAAGAAAAUAAACAAAGCGAAAAUGGAUUGACAGGCAUAGAUCAAUUCCUCGAACUUAAUUGGCUGUAAAAAUGGAUGUUGAGGCAGAUACUCAUAAAGAAUGUAGUGAGGGAAGUUUGGAGGUGGCUGAAAGUAAAGAUGAAAAAGUUUCUGACAAUGCAGAAAAUCAGAUAAGUGAUGUUGGUGUGAAACGACCACAUGAUGAUGCUGAUGAAGCAGAACAAGAGGAAGAUGGUCCACCGGAGAAAAGGUGGGGUAUAUGUUUCAAAUGAGUUUAAAGUUAGAGCAAGCCUGAAUCAAGCCAGGUUAUAUUAAAAUUCUAAAU